GACAGAGGUGCCAAGCGUUAGGCGGAAUCACUGGGCUUAAAGCGUGUGUAGGCGGACUGGUAAGUACCUUGUGAAAUCCCACGGCUCAACCGUGGAACUGCUCGGUAUACUGCUCGUCUUGAGCCACUUAGGGGCUGUCGGAACAAACGGUGGAGCGGUGAAAUGCGUAGAUAUCUGGAGGAAUACCGGUGGCGAAGGCGGCAUCCUGGACCGACAUUUGACGCUGAUGAGCGAAAGCUAGGGGAGCAAACGGG
rnacentral:rRNA from 1 species